CAGUCGAGCGGAACGAUGGGUGCUUGCACCCAGGCGUCGAGCGGCGGACGGGUGAGUAAUGCAUAGGAAUCUGCCCAGUAGUGGGGGAUAGCCCGGGGAAACCCGGAUUAAUACCGCAUACGUCCUACGGGAGAAAGCAGGGGAUCUUCGGACCUUGCGCUAUUGGAUGAGCCUAUGUCGGAUUAGCUAGUUGGUGGGGUAAAGGCCUACCAAGGCGACGAUCCGUAGCUGGUCUGAGAGGAUGAUCAGCCACAUCGGGACUGAGACACGGCCCGAACUCCUACGGGAGGCAGCAGUGGGGAAUAUUGGACAAUGGGCGCAAGCCUGAUCCAGCCAUGCCGCGUGUGUGAAGAAGGCUUUCGGGUUGUAAAGCACUUUCAGUGGGGAGGAAGGUCUCGUAGCUAAUACCUGCGAGGAUUGACGUUACCCACAGAAGAAGCACCGGCUAACUCCGUGCCAGCAGCCGCGGUAAUACGGAGGGUGCGAGCGUUAAUCGGAAUUACUGGGCGUAAAGCGCGCGUAGGCGGUUUGAUAAGCGAGAUGUGAAAGCCCCGGGCUUAACCUGGGAACGGCAUUUCGAACUGUCAGGCUAGAGUAUGGUAGAGGGUAGUGGAAUUUCCUGUGUAGCGGUGAAAUGCGUAGAUAUAGGAAGGAACACCAGUGGCGAAGGCGGCUACCUGGACCAAUACUGACGCUGAGGUGCGAAAGCGUGGGGAGCAAACAGGAUUAGAUACCCUGGUAGUCCACGCCGUAAACGAUGUCAACUAGCCGUUGGGGAUCUUGAAUCCUUAGUGGCGCAGCUAACGCACUAAGUUGACCGCCUGGGGAGUACGGCCGCAAGGUUAAAACUCAAAUGAAUUGACGGGGGCCCGCACAAGCGGUGGAGCAUGUGGUUUAAUUCGACGCACGC
rnacentral:rRNA from 2 species